rnacentral:rRNA from 1 species
AGCGAACAUUGGCGGCAGGCUUAACACAUGCAAGUCGAACGGUAAGGCCCUUCGGGGUACACGAGUGGCGAACGGGUGAGUAACACGUGGGUGAUCUGCCCUGCACUUCGGGAUAAGCCCGGGCAACUGGGUCUAAUACCGGAUAGGACUCCGGACUGCAUGGUCUGGGGUGGAAAGCUUUUGCGGUGUGGGUUGGGCCCGCGGCCUAUCAGCUUGUUGGUGGGGUGAUGGCCUACCAAGGCGACGACGGGUAGCCGGCCUGAGAGGGUGACCGGCCACACUGAGACUGAGAUACGGCCCAGACUCCUACGGGAGGCAGCAGUGGGGAAUAUUGCACAAUGGGCGCAAGACUGAUGCAGCGACGCCGCGUGAGGGAUGUCGGCCUUCAGGUUGUAAACCUCUUUCAGCAUCGACGAAGCGAAAGUGACGGUAGGUGCAGAAGAAGGACCGGCCAACUACGUGCCAGCCGCCGCAGUAA